GGAGGCCCUGAAUGAACUCACAGCCUCAGUAUGCUGAUGAAGCUAGGACGGCUGUCUGAGCUUCUUCUUUAAAAUCCAGCCUCAAGGGCCCAUCCCCGAGUCCAGCGGAAGGCUCAACUCCACCAUGCGCUACCACUCAAGGACACUGAGCCUUCUUUGUGGCUGUUGGGCUGGGGAGAAACACAGGAUGUAAGCAGUGGCCUCCUCUGCUACCACAUCCAGACCUAUGGUGAGUUCUGGUGGUUUGAGACUUUUGGGGAAACAGACCCUGGCUUGGUGUAGGAAGGUGGGGGAAAUGUGUGUAGAUUGACUGUAGACAGAGAAGGACAGACUGAAAAGAUGUCAUGGUGCUUGUGGAGAUGACAGUCACCUCCUGAUUCUCUGGCCGCUUGUUUCCCUCUCC
rnacentral:lncRNA from 1 species